AUGUCAGAGGCGCGGAAUUCAUCAGUACCGCCGGGGAGGCUCCCGAAGCCAGUGAACCGGAGAGAAAGGGAAUUCUGCCGAAGCGGAGCCGCUCGGGGCGGAUUUCUGCUGGGCGCUUGGAGAAGAUUCAAGCGACUGUCGCAAACAUUUGCGGAGUGCUGCA
rnacentral:ncRNA from 1 species